rnacentral:lncRNA from 1 species
AUUUUAAUAUGGUAAUUAUUAUCACAUAAUAUUGAACAACACGCUUAUAUCAUAUAGAUGAAAUUUUAUAUUUAAACUUUUAUGAGUAACAUUAUUCUUAAAACAUUUAUCUCACAUGAAAUGUUCAUGUGAUGAGACAUUUAUUUAGUCAAUAAAUUCUCGAGAUUUUUAAUAUAACAUUAGCGUUGUAAUCCCUAAAUUUAUUCAAAAAGUUUGUUUCAGACGAGGUAACUAUUAGGGUUAUCUUAUAUUUGAUUUGUAGAAAGAACCAUUAGUUAGUUGUAAGUGUGAGAGGAAGUCUCACCCAUUAAGUUAGUUUUUAGAAUCAAGAGAAAUUCAUUAAUACCAACAACAAUAACAUUGAUUAAAUGGAGAUGUUUGCCUGAGAAAAAUGAAAAAAAUUAUGCAGAGAGGAAAAUAAUAAGUUAAAUAUUUUACAGAAGAAUAACUUGUCACUUCCUAAUGGUGCAUUUACUUCAUAAAAUGAGAAUGAGGUUGAAUAUGAAUGGACUGGAAUGAGAAUAAAUAAUGAGAAUGAGAUUCUAAUAUUUACUUGAUAAAAAUAAAUGGAAGUGGGAAUGUGCUGGAAUGCCAUUGAUGUGUUUACUUGACAAAAUAAAUGGAAAUAAAUAAUGGAAAUGAGAAUCAAUUUACCAAAAU